GUGGAUACAGCUGCCAAGUUCAAUGUUCCAAGGAUUAUUUUCCAUGGAUUUUCUUGCUUCUGUCUAUUCUGCCUGCACCUCUUGGGCGUUUCAAAGGUUCACGAGAACGUUACAUCUGAUUCAGAUUACUUUAAUAUACCUGGCUUGCCUGAUCACAUUCAAUUUACUAAAGUUCAAUUACCAAUAUCCGAGCAGGAUGAUGACUUUAAAGAGCUUCAAGAGCAAAUUUUUGCGGCCGAUAAGAAAACAUACGGCACGAUUACAAAUACCUUCGAAGAGCUAGAGUCGCCAUGUAUUGAAGACUACAAAAAAGCAAAACAAGAAAAAGUUUGGUGCAUCG
rnacentral:lncRNA from 1 species